GACGAACGCUGGCGGCGUGCCUAAUACAUGCAAGUCGAACGAACUCUGGUAUUGAUUGGUGCUUGCAUCAUGAUUUACAUUUGAGUGAGUGGCGAACUGGUGAGUAACACGUGGGAAACCUGCCCAGAAGCGGGGGAUAACACCUGGAAACAGAUGCUAAUACCGCAUAACAACUUGGACCGCAUGGUCCGAGCUUGAAAGAUGGCUUCGGCUAUCACUUUUGGAUGGUCCCGCGGCGUAUUAGCUAGAUGGUGGGGUAACGGCUCACCAUGGCAAUGAUACGUAGCCGACCUGAGAGGGUAAUCGGCCACAUUGGGACUGAGACACGGCCCAAACUCCUACGGGAGGCAGCAGUAGGGAAUCUUCCACAAUGGACGAAAGUCUGAUGGAGCAACGCCGCGUGAGUGAAGAAGGGUUUCGGCUCGUAAAACUCUGUUGUUAAAGAAGAACAUAUCUGAGAGUAACUGUUCAGGUAUUGACGGUAUUUAACCAGAAAGCCACGGCUAACUACGUGCCAGCAGCCGCGGUAAUACGUAGGUGGCAAGCGUUGUCCGGAUUUAUUGGGCGUAAAGCGAGCGCAGGCGGUUUUUUAAGUCUGAUGUGAAAGCCUUCGGCUCAACCGAAGAAGUGCAUCGGAAACUGGGAAACUUGAGUGCAGAAGAGGACAGUGGAACUCCAUGUGUAGCGGUGAAAUGCGUAGAUAUAUGGAAGAACACCAGUGGCGAAGGCGGCUGUCUGGUCUGUAACUGACGCUGAGGCUCGAAAGUAUGGGUAGCAAACAGGAUUAGAUACCCUGGUAGUCCAUACCGUAAACGAUGAAUGCUAAGUGUUGGAGGGUUUCCGCCCUUCAGUGCUGCAGCUAACGCAUUAAGCAUUCCGCCUGGGGAGUACGGCCGCAAGGCUGAAACUCAAAGGAAUUGACGGGGGCCCGCACAAGCGGUGGAGCAUGUGGUUUAAUUCGAAGCUACGCGAAGAACCUUACCAGGUCUUGACAUACUAUGCAAAUCUAAGAGAUUAGACGUUCCCUUCGGGGACAUGGAUACAGGUGGUGCAUGGUUGUCGUCAGCUCGUGUCGUGAGAUGUUGGGUUAAGUCCCGCAACGAGCGCAACCCUUAUUAUCAGUUGCCAGCAUUAAGUUGGGCACUCUGGUGAGACUGCCGGUGACAAACCGGAGGAAGGUGGGGAUGACGUCAAAUCAUCAUGCCACUUAUGACCUGGGCUACACACGUGCUACAAUGGAUGGUACAACGAGUUGCGAACUCGCGAGAGUAAGCUAAUCUCUUAAAGCCAUUCUCAGUUCGGAUUGUAGGCUGCAACUCGCCUACAUGAAGUCGGAAUCGCUAGUAAUCGCGGAUCAGCAUGCCGCGGUGAAUACGUUCCCGGGCCUUGUACACACCGCCCGUCACACCAUGAGAGUUUGUAACACCCAAAGUCGGUGGGGUAACCUUUUAGGAACCAGCCGCCUAAGGUGGGACAGAUGAUUAGGGUG
rnacentral:rRNA from 1 species